AACGCUUGCUGCAUGCUUUAUACAUGCAAGUCGAACGGAGGCCCUAGCUUGCUAGGUGUCCUUAGUGGCGCACGGGUGAGUAACACGUGGGAACAUACCUCAUAGUACGGAAUAACUGCGGGAAACUGUAGCUAAUACCGUAUAUUCCAGUAAUGGGAAAGAUUUAUCGCUAUGAGAUUGGCCCGCGCAAGAUUAGCUUGUUGGUGAGGUAAUGGCUCACCAAGGCUCCGAUCUUUAGCUGGUUUGAGAGGACGAUCAGCCACACUGGGACUGAGACACGGCCCAGACUCCUACGGGAGGCAGCAGUAGGGAAUAUUGGACAAUGGGGGAAACCCUGAUCCAGCAAUGCAGCGUGAGUGACGAAGGCCUUAGGGUUGUAAAACUCUUUCAUCGGUGAGGAUAAUGACAGUAGCCGAAGAAGAAGGACCG
rnacentral:rRNA from 1 species